AAUGCCUAGGAAUCUGCCUGGUAGUGGGGGAUAACGUUCGGAAACGGACGCUAAUACCGCAUACGUCCUACGGGAGAAAGCAGGGGAUCUUCGGGCCUUGCGCUAUCAGAUGAGCCUAGGUCGGAUUAGCUAGUUGGUGAGGUAAUGGCUCACCAAGGCGACGAUCCGUAACUGGUCUGAGAGGAUGAUCAGUCACACUGGAACUGAGACACGGUCCAGACUCCUACGGGAGGCAGCAGUGGGGAAUAUUGGACAAUGGGCGAAAGCCUGAUCCAGCCAUGCCGCGUGUGUGAAGAAGGUCUUCGGAUUGUAAAGCACUUUAAGUUGGGAGGAAGGGUUGUAGAUUAAUACUCUGCAAUUUUGACGUUACCGACAGAAUAAGCACCGGCUAACUCUGUGCCAGCAGCCGCGGUAAUACAGAGGGUGCAAGCGUUAAUCGGAAUUACUGGGCGUAAAGCGCGCGUAGGUGGUUUGUUAAGUUGGAUGUGAAAUCCCCGGGCUCAACCUGGGAACUGCAUUCAAAACUGACUGACUAGAGUAUGGUAGAGGGUGGUGGAAUUUCCUGUGUAGCGGUGAAAUGCGUAGAUAUAGGAAGG
rnacentral:rRNA from 1 species